rnacentral:rRNA from 1 species
UGGUGGAGUGAUUUGUCUGCUUAAUUGCGAUAACGAACGAGACCUUAACCUGCUAAAUAGCCCGGUCCGCGUCUGCGGGCCGCUGGCUUCUUAGAGGGACUAUCGGCUCAAGCCGAUGGAAGUUUGAGGCAAUAACA